rnacentral:misc_RNA from 1 species
GAUGAAGAACGUAGCGAAAUGCGAUAAGUGAUGUGAAUUGCAGAAUUCAGUGAAUCAUCGAAUCUUUGAACGCACAUUGCGCCCAUUAGUAUUCUAGUGGGCAUGCCUGUUCGAGCGUCAUUAAGUCCACUUAAGCCCUGCUUAGUGUUGGGAGACUGCUCCAGCGGUGCUACCCUGUAGCUACCCUGCAGCUCCUCAAAGACAGCGGCGGAGUUGUGGUAUCCUCUGAGCUUAGUAACUUGUUCUAGCUUUCGAGUACACCACUUCCCCUGCCGUAAAACCCUUAAUUUUUAAUGGUUGACCUCGGAUCAGGUAGGAAUACCCGCUGAACUUAAGCAUAUCAAUAAGCGGAGGA